rnacentral:rRNA from 1 species
GAGUAAUACAUCGGAACGUGCCCAGUCGUGGGGGAUAACUACUCGAAAGAGUAGCUAAUACCGCAUACGAUCUGAGGAUGAAAGCGGGGGACCUUCGGGCCUCGCGCGAUUGGAGCGGCCGAUGGCAGAUUAGGUAGUUGGUGGGAUAAAAGCUUACCAAGCCGACGAUCUGUAGCUGGUCUGAGAGGACGACCAGCCACACUGGGACUGAGACACGGCCCAGACUCCUACGGGAGGCAGCAGUGGGGAAUUUUGGACAAUGGGCGAAAGCCUGAUCCAGCAAUGCCGCGUGCAGGAUGAAGGCCUUCGGGUUGUAA